UAUUUUCCAAAUUUUUUGCUGUUUUCUGUUUUUAUUCUGAUUGAAAAUUUUUAAGAUUUGUUAUAAUUGUUUUGACAUGUCAAUGAUAUUGAACACAUUUCAACAUUUCUUGAGAAAUUAGGGCUUAUGUAUAUCUAAUGAACAGCAGUAAGCAGGAUGUAACCAUCACAGAUUACUGAUCAGAUCAUACAGUAAAAGACAAUUUUUAGGUUUUUAAGUGAUUUUAUUUUAACAAAAUUGACAUUCUCUUAGGAAGUGGUUACUCAGGUACCUAUAGUGGUACAUGUAAUAUUGUCCCGUAGUUGAUGUCAGCUUAUUUCUCAGUUCUUAGGAAAAUAAUUCAGCGUUUUUAAGUGAGCUUUUAUGCAAAUGCAGUUUUAAUAUUUUGUAAAUCUUCAAAAAGAAAUUAGCAAGAACAAAGUUAUAAAAGAAUUUGUAUCUACAUGUGUGAUCAGAGACGUAUAAUACAUGUAUUAUACGUCUCUGGUGUGAUGCAGCUAUUUGAUAAAACUGGUCAGAUAUCUUUUUAACCAUAAGAAGCACAUGAGACAUAACAUAUUUUAAAGUUAAGCACUUUUUAAUAGUAAUUCUGCAACGGUCGUCUCUUUAGCAAACAAUGUCGCUUAAAUAAUUGUUAUUUCAUGUAUUUUUAAUGAGAAGAUAGAUCUAUAUAUUCAGUCUUAAAUUUGCAGUUUAACUUAUAUGUUAUAUCGUGAUAGAUGUUCUAGCUUUGAUUCAUUGUUUUAUGUGCGCGUAGUAUGAUAAAAUAUUACUGCAACAAACUUAAACACUGUUAACCGUAUUUGAUGACGGAACAGUCUCGUUCCCCGAGUAACAAAAAGGCAAUACUAAAUUUCUUAAUUACAAUUAUAAUACAAGCUAAGCUUAAUCAUCUCCCCUUGACAAAGGACAUCUUCAGAUGUCACAGUCAGGGAAGGUACAUUAGACUUGUGUCUACAGUAUUCAAAUUCAAUGUAUCUUGAGAUUAGAAUAUCUAGUCAUAUAAAUGUUUUAACUAGAAUGUUUUAAUUGUCAGAGGAAUUGUGAAUGCUCAAUUCCACAUUGAACAACAACCUGUUAAUAAACUUAAACCCUACAACACGUUCAGUAUUCUAACACUGUGUUGAAAUCUGAAGAUAAAGCUCAAAUUAGAAGUUGUCAUUAUCUGAGUUAUUUAGAAACCAAAAUCAACCUAGAGAAGGGAGUAACUAAUGUCGGCAAGGUAACCAAGAGUUAAAGGAAGUAGUAUGAUCAAGAUGACCUUGAGGUCAGGGAACUAGUAUGAUCAAGAUGACCUUGAGGUCAGGGAACUAGUAUCAUCAAGGAGACCUUGAUGUCGGGGAACUAGUAUCAUCAAGGAGACCUUGAUGUCGGAGAACUAGUAUGAUCAAGAUGACCUUGAGGUCAGGGAACUAGUAUCAUCAAGGUGACCUUGAGGUCAGAGAACUACAGUCAUAAAGAUUAUUUUAAAGUCAGGGGAACCAGUUUCAUCUUGGUAGCCUAGAGUUCAGGAAAACAAUAUCAUUAGGUGAUUUUAAGGUCUUGGGAACAUGUACCAUCAAGGUAAUCGAGAGUUGAGAGACUAGUAUCAUCAAGGUGAGUUUAAGGUCAAGUGAACUAGUAUCAUCAAGGUGAGUUUAAGGUCAAGUGAACUAGUAUCAUCAAGAAUACCUUAAAUUCAAGGGAACUUAUUUCGUCAAAGUGAUUUGAUGUCGGGGAAACUGGCGUGUUAUAGUUAAAGGGUUAAGGAUGACACUGGGUGUUCUAUAGAUAACUGGUAUUGGAAUGUGAUCUUGAUCAGGUUAUCAAGGCAAAAUGACAAAUACACAUAUACAAGUAUGUAUGGUAUUAAAUAUUGAACUGAAAGUAACGUAUAGGAUAUGUUGGUACAUACAGUUACACUUCAUUGGUUCUCAUCAUUGCAUGAAAUUUGAAUAUCAAUAGAGAAAGUCAAUGAGUUCAUUUAUUAAUAUUGUACCAGUAAUCAAUUUGGGAUAAAAUGGAGAAACUACAAUAAUUCACUGUGGAUAAAGAAAUCCUUUGUGUUGAUGUGGAAAGGUGGACACAUGUUCAAAUGUGAGAUUUGAAAAUGCAUAGCAAUACAAAUGUUUGGAAACAGUGAGAUGCAUGUCUGUUGGUUGGUAUCUGUUUGAGUGAAUACAAGAUAUAUUUGUUGAAUAUUGUGAAAGGAGGUGUGAGUUUGUAGGUAUCUGAGUGGAUAUGAUUUAUGUUUGUUGUUGGGAGAGAGUGAGUGAGAUGAUGAACGAUGCCAGACCAAGAGGUACUUGUUAGUCAUAACCAAGUGAUGGCAGCUUGUUGGUGAGAUGUUAAGUUCUCAGUCUUUUUAUUUUUUCGUGAAUUAUUAUUAUUCUUAAAAUAUAUAUUAAAAUUCUAAAAGAAUCGCA